ACAUCAGUAGUUCAGUGGUUAGAAUUUCUGCCUUCCACCUCAACAGUGUCUAGAGCAGAAGGCCCGUGUUCGAUUCACGGCUGAUGUA
rnacentral:tRNA from 1 species